rnacentral:rRNA from 1 species
AUUGAACGCUGGCGGCAGGCUUAACACAUGCAAGUCGAGCGAGCGGCGGACGGGUGAGUAAUGUCUGGGAAACUGACUGAUGGAGGGGGAUAACUACUGGAAACGGUAGCUAAUACCGCAACCCAUAAUCUUUGCCCAGAUGGGAUUAGCUAGUAGGUGGGGUAAGGGCUCACCUAGGCGACGCUCCCUAGCUGGUCUGAGAGGAUGACCAGCAACACUGGAACUGAGACACGGUCCAGACUCCUACGGGAGGCAGCAGUGGGGAAGAUUGCACAAUGGGCGAAAUCCUGAUGCAGCCAUGCCGCGUGUGUGAAGAAGGCCUUCGGGUUGUAAAGCCCUUUCAGCGAGGAGGCGUUACUCGCAGAAGAAGCACCGGCUAACUCCGUGCCAGCAGCCGCGGUAAUAC